GGAAAACAGAAAAGGUUGCGCAACAUGAGCUUCUUCAUGAAGCUCUAAGACACUUCAGCCGCCACAGUGCAGAACGCACCCACCCCUGCGUCGUCUCCUUCACACCCCCUUCCCCAGUGAAAAACUUCAUCUUCUUUAAUGCUUGACCACCAAGUACCCUAAUCUCCAUAACGACCUUCAACCGUAAAACCAAGCCACCACAGUCCGCCGGAAACCUUCAUCUCAUACCAGCAACCACUGGCUACUAUUUUUAGUCCAAACGAGAGCAGCAACAGUGAAAAGUUUCUUUUAUUUUCUUCUCGUUCCGUGGUUGUCCUCAAAAAGCAAUGGCAUUUCAGUUAAGUUCGAGUUACGUUACAGCCUGUUCGUAGGUCGCUAGCUCCGUCGGUUCAGUUCAGUUCGAGUUUGCCGGGUAGAUUUGGGUUCCGUCAAUUUAUCGCUAUCCAAACUUUCUGUCGUUGAGCAUUUUUAGAACCAACUUUGUGUUGAGAGGUCCGCUCUAUUCGAAGGCGCCAUCGAGUUUGUUGUUGAGAAACUCCCUUCGUUUGAGGUUGCCGGAGCUCCGAUCGUGGUCUCUGUUUCGGC
rnacentral:lncRNA from 1 species